ACAAACUUGGUCAUUUAGAGGAAGUAAAAGUCGUAACAAGGUUUCCGUAGGUGAACCUGCGGAAGGAUCAUUAGAGAAGUGAAAUGUCGCAAGAGCGACGAUAGUCUCCUGUGAACUUGGCGAUCGACCGACGCAAGUCGGGCGAUUGCUUUCAUAUAAACUCUGUGUUGUAAACCAGAAUGUUUUGUUAUUCGUAACAAAAUAUAACUUUCAGCAACGGAUCUCUUGGCUCCCACAUCGAUGAAGAACGCAGC
rnacentral:misc_RNA from 1 species